AGUUGAUAUCAAACCUACAAAUAUGGAAGAGCUGACAGAGGUAAUCACUGCAGCAGAAUUCCAUCCCCAUGACUGCAAUGUGUUUGUUUAUUCUAGCAGCAAAGGAACCAUUCGGCUGUGCGACAUGCGACAGGCCGCUCUCUGUGAUAGUCACUCUAAGAUGUUUGAGGAGCCCGCAGGAUCCGACGAGCCGUAGUUUCUUCAGUGAAAUACUAUCCUCUAUUAGUGAUGUUUAAGUUUUCUAACAGUGGUCGCUAUAUGAUUUCACGAGAUUACUUGUCUGUUAAAGUUUGGGAUCUUCACAUGGAAACUAAACCAUUGAAACUUAUCCGGUGCAUGAAUAUCUUCGCUCCAAACUAUGUUCGCUAUAUGAGAAUGAUUGCAUUUUCGAUAAGUUUGAAUGUUGUUGGAGUGGAAAUGAUUCUGCCAUCAUGACUGGCUCAUACAAUAACUUCUUUAGGAUGUUUGAUAGAACCACUAAGAGAGAUGUUACACUGGAAGCAUCAAGAGAUACAGCCAAACCUAGAACAUUAUUAAAACAAGAAAGGUAUGUAAUUUUUUUUUUUUUUAAAUCAUUUUGUAACCAUAGUAAAAUGCAUGCAGUUUUGUCAUCCCUAAAUAAAUUGCCAAAAAUUUACUUAGAUUGUCCAUAUAUCAGUACUGAACUUGAUUUAUAAAUAAGUGUGAAUUAUGAAUAAUUUAAGUAAAAUAAGACAAUGAAGUGAUUGGUAUUGUAGUUCGAUAUAGCAUUUUUAGAAGAAUUGGUAAAGUAAAGAUAGUGCAAUUUUUUAUAGCAUGUAUUUAUGCGUUUCUUUUAUGAAUUUAUAAGUUUAAAAAGUGAAAUUAUGUAGAUUGAUCUUGACUUUUAUGAUAUACAUGAGAACUGGACAGACACUUUUAUUUAAUUUGACACUUACCCAGUAGUUGUUUACGAAAUAGAAUGCCACACACAGAACCAGAAUGCCUUUGAAAAAUUAAUUUAAAGAUUUUAUUAAAUCAAUAGUCAGCCAUUGUAUUACAAAUGUUUGUUGUGUAAGUUUUAAGUAUUACUUAUUAAAGGUUUGUACUGCGGGAAAACGGAAGAAGGAUGAGAUCAGUGUUGAUUGCCUCGAUUUCAAUAAGAAGAUAUUACACACGGCAUGGCAUCCACAUGAAAAUAUCAUAGCAGUUGCAGCCACCAACAAUCUUUACAUAUUCCAAGACAAAUUUAGCGAUCCUUCAAUGACUAGAGCUUAGGCCUUCUUCCUCAGUUGGUGGAUGUACGGACAGUGUUACUGGUGGUGUAGGAGGAAUGGUCCAAUUAUGUGAUCACUGCACUUCCAUCAAGGCUGUCCAGUAAGAUGCAUCUACUGCUUGAAGCCAAACAACUCCCAGUAGCCACUUCAUCUUGGAAAACCCAAAUCAACAAGUGGCAUGUGUGUCUUUCGGGUUGUGUCUCCAAGUCGCCAGUGGUCUGAAGUGCCAUGAGUGAGUGGCAAACAAAACAAAACUACAAAAAAAAAAAAAAAAAAAAAAAAAAAAAAAAAUAAAAAAAAAAAAAAAAAAAAAAAAAAAAAAAUCAGCUAGGGCUUAUUGCCCACCAGCCAGUGCUGCCAUCCCAUAGGACUUUCCAGCAGCUGAUUUUAUUUUUUUUUUUAUUUAUUUUCCCAAGGCUGUUUAAAAAUCUAAAUAAUAUGGCAUGAAAUCAUGACUUAAGGAAUUUGCCAUAUUGAAUAGUGGCUUAAAGUUUAUAAGAAAAUUUAUUUCUCAAAACUGCUGUACUUUUUAUUUUAAAGUAAAAAAAAUUUAUUUCAAAUAGGCUGAAUCAUUAUAAAAAAAUCUGUGAUUAAAAA